AACAUACUUGCUUUUAUGGAAAAAGUAAUUAUAAUUUAAAUUUAGUGUAAUUUACAAAUUCUUAUAAUUUGUAUUUAGAAAUGAUUGAAAAAUAAAGGGUGGAAAAUACUUCCACCCUUUAUUUAUCGUAUA
rfam:Candidatus Rickettsia amblyommii str. GAT-30V, complete genome.